rnacentral:rRNA from 1 species
ACAGAGGUCCCAAGCGUUGUUCGGAUUCAUUGGGCGUAAAGGGUGCGUAGGUGGCAUGGUAAGUCGGGUGUGAAAUCCCGGGGCUCAACCCCGGAACUGCACUCGAUACUGCCGUGCUCGAGUACUGGAGAGGAGACUGGAAUUUACGGUGUAGCAGUGAAAUGCGUAGAUAUGUGGAGGAACACCGGUGGCGAAGGCGGCGCUCUGGACCGAGACUGACGCUGAGGCGCGAAAGCGUGGGGAGCAAACAGGA